AGCCUGGUUCUGCCGGAGGUUUCUUCCUGUUAAAAGGGAGUUUUUCCUUCCCUAUGUUGAAGCUGAGCCUCACAUCCUGAACCUCUCUGUGGUGGAGACGCCCUGUGGCUCAGACUGCGCCCCCUGGAGGCUGCAGUGUGAAGCUGAAGGCAACCCGCUGCCUAAGAUUGUGUGGCUUUUGCCCUCCAGAUACAUGUUAGAGAACAAAGAUGAGACCUCAAAGUCCAGCCCGUACCAUGUGACCAGCUGUGUGCCGUACCUGGAGGAGGAGGAGCUCACCUGCAGGGCGGAGAGUGCACUGACCCACACAGAGAGGACGUAUCCAACCAGAGAGCCUCAGUACCCAGUAAAAAUCCAGUCAAAUCCUGACUAUAUAAAAUAUCCCGGACCAACUCCAAACGAGUCACAAAUUAUUCAGGGUUUCAUCGUUUUUUAGCAGAACGCUCAAACAGAAACUGUGACAUGCAAACUGGACGAUGGAUCGUCCAUGGAGGGUGACUGAGGGGCUGCGCUAAGGCCCGGUGUGAGAUACAGUAGGAUUACUUUGAACUAUGAAUUAUGCAAAGCUGCUCUGGCAGCUUUUUGUAUUAUUGUUACAAUAUUUUACCUUACAAUAAAAAAACUCAUUUAUAUAGCGCCAAAUCACGUCUGUUGUUGCGAUUUGGUGCUACAUAAAGCUGAA